CUUCUACAGCGCCGCCGCGCGUGCUCGGAACCACAGACACCACCACGCAGGUCCAUCAUCCCGGAAUCUUCACCAAGGUCUUCCUCGGCGCGUCCGACGCCUAGGUUGUCAUCCGGGAGCUGGAGCGCAUGGUAGUUCGCGAAGGGCGAGUCCUAGGAGUUGAGGUGAAGGGAUGCGGAGUGGUGGACACCGACGUUGUGGUGCUUGCGCUCGGCCCGUGUUCCAGGCAGUUCGAUUUUGUCAAGGAGGUGUUCGAUGUGCCCAGGCUUCCGGAAAAUCAGUGAUGGACAUAGUAGUGCUAGUGCUGGGUUUGUAGAUGAACUGAUGCUUGUUCCAUUAUCUUCUUAAUUAGGCACCUCUGAGUGGAGGAAGGCUAUAGCGAUGAGGACGAGGGAGCUGCUCUGGUGAGCAGUCGCAGGACUCCUAAGUCAAAGCUGCUCGUGGCCACCUUGUCCGCAACUGCUAGGAGAUGGAAGUGUAUUACAGAGGGCGGUGAGUUUCAGGAGAAGGAAGAGGCAGCAGCCGGCCACCGACAGGCACUAGCUCGGCGGCGGCGGUGUCCAUCAGCAACAUAAACAACUUCAAUAGCCAGGACAACAGCGUAUUCCCGGUUCUAGCACACUCACUGCUAUGGCUAGCACCGAAAAUGAGUUGUAAGAUGACGAUGCGGUAGCUGCAUCAUGAUUACUGGAUCACCACAGACUUCAAUUGUAAGCUAGCUAACCAUAUUGCACCUUUGAAGUUCUGAUCUGCUGAUCCAUGUUGGAUCGAUC